rnacentral:lncRNA from 1 species
CGUGGCCUCUGAGGACCUGGGGGCGGGGUCUGGCAGGGUCAGAGGUUUCUGGAAAGGCCUUUGACCUGUGGGCGUGUUCCUAGAGGUCAGGUGGUGAGAAUGGCGGGGUCAGCGGACAGCAGUGGGGCUACAGGCUGUGUCUGUGGCUGCCCUGGCUUAGGGCUCUGGCUGGCCCCUCCUUUCCGACCUGGUCUGGCAGAGCAGCCCCGCAGGACCAGCUCGCAAGGCUCCUGGGGCCAGUGGGGCUCUGUCCUGUGAGGCGGUCCCUCCGCAAGGACAGAGUCAGAGAGAGGCUGGUGCCUCCAUCUAGCCUCAGUCUCGCUGUCCAUCAAAGAGAGGGAAUGGUUACCAGGGUCCGGACCAGCCUCCCAGCCUUCUCAUUCCCUGGAGGAAAAGGUGAAAUGCUUCUGGUCCUGGAAUGUGUGAGAGAUGACCCAGAGGUUUCAGAAGUUCUGCUGUUUUUGAUGUCCCGAGG